AGCGUACACGGUGGAUGCCCUGGCAGUCAGAGGCGAUGAAGGACGUGCUAAUCUGCGAAAAGCGUCGGUAAGGUGAUAUGAACCGUUAUAACCGGCGAUGUCCGAAUGGGGAAACCCAGUGUGAUUCGUCACACUAUCGUUAACUGAAUACAUAGGUUAACGAGGCGAACCGGGGGAACUGAAACAUCUAAGUACCCCGAGGAAAAGAAAUCAACCGAGAUUCCCCCAGUAGCGGCGAGCGAACGGGGAGCAGCCCAGAGUCUGAAUCAGCUUGUGUGUUAGUGGAACGGUCUGGAAAGUCCGACGGUACAGGGUGAUAGUCCCGUACACCAAAAUGCACAGGCUGUGAACUCGAAGAGUAGGGCGGGACACGUGGUAUCCUGUCUGAAUAUGGGGGGACCAUCCUCCAAGGCUAAAUACUCCUGACUGACCGAUAGUGAACCAGUACCGUGAGGGAAAGGCGAAAAGAACCCCGGCGAGGGGAGUGAAAAAGAACCUGAAACCGUGUACGUACAAGCAGUGGGAGCACCUUCGGGUGUGACUGCGUACCUUUUGUAUAAUGGGUCAGCGACUUAUAUUCUGUAGCAAGGUUAACCGUAUAGGGGAGCCGCAGGGAAACCGAGUCUUAACUGGGCGUUAAGUUGCAGGGUAUAGACCCGAAACCCGGUGAUCUAGCCAUGGGCAGGUUGAAGGUUGGGUAACACUAACUGGAGGACCGAACCGACUAAUGUUGAAAAAUUAGCGGAUGACUUGUGGCUGGGGGUGAAAGGCCAAUCAAACCGGGAGAUAGCUGGUUCUCCCCGAAAGCUAUUUAGGUAGCGCCUCGUGAACUCAUCUUCGGGGGUAGAGCACUGUUUCGGCUAGGGGGUCAUCCCGACUUACCAACCCGAUGCAAACUACGAAUACCGAAGAAUGUUAUCACGGGAGACACACGGCGGGUGCUAACGUCCGUCGUGAAGAGGGAAACAACCCAGACCGCCAGCUAAGGUCCCAAAGUCAUGGUUAAGUGGGAAACGAUGUGGGAAGGCACAGACAGCCAGGAUGUUGGCUUAGAAGCAGCCAUCAUUUAAAGAAAGCGUAAUAGCUCACUGGUCGAGUCGGCCUGCGCGGAAGAUGUAACGGGGCUAAACCAUGCACCGAAGCUGCGGCAGCGACACUAUGUGUUGUUGGGUAGGGGAGCGUUCUGUAAGCCUGCGAAGGUGUGCUGUGAGGCAUGCUGGAGGUAUCAGAAGUGCGAAUGCUGACAUAAGUAACGAUAAAGCGGGUGAAAAGCCCGCUCGCCGGAAGACCAAGGGUUCCUGUCCAACGUUAAUCGGGGCAGGGUGAGUCGACCCCUAAGGCGAGGCCGAAAGGCGUAGUCGAUGGGAAACAGGUUAAUAUUCCUGUACUUGGUGUUACUGCGAAGGGGGGACGGAGAAGGCUAUGUUAGCCGGGCGACGGUUGUCCCGGUUUAAGCAUGUAGGCUGAUUGUCCAGGCAAAUCCGGAUAAUCAAGGCUGAGGUGUGAUGACGAGGCACUACGGUGCUGAAGUAACAAAUGCCCUGCUUCCAGGAAAAGCCUCUAAGCAUCAGGUAACAUCAAAUCGUACCCCAAACCGACACAGGUGGUCAGGUAGAGAAUACCAAGGCGCUUGAGAGAACUCGGGUGAAGGAACUAGGCAAAAUGGUGCCGUAACUUCGGGAGAAGGCACGCUGGUGUGUAGGUGAAGUCCCUGCGGAUGGAGCUGAGACCAGUCGAAGAUACCAGCUGGCUGCAACUGUUUAUUAAAAACACAGCACUGUGCAAACACGAAAGUGGACGUAUACGGUGUGACGCCUGCCCGGUGCCGGAAGGUUAAUUGAUGGGGUUAUCCGUAAGGAGAAGCUCUUGAUCGAAGCCCCGGUAAACGGCGGCCGUAACUAUAACGGUCCUAAGGUAGCGAAAUUCCUUGUCGGGUAAGUUCCGACCUGCACGAAUGGCGUAAUGAUGGCCAGGCUGUCUCCACCCGAGACUCAGUGAAAUUGAACUCGCUGUGAAGAUGCAGUGUACCCGCGGCAAGACGGAAAGACCCCGUGAACCUUUACUAUAGCUUGACACUGAACAUUGAGCCUUGAUGUGUAGGAUAGGUGGGAGGCUUUGAAGCGUGGACGCCAGUCUGCGUGGAGCCAACCUUGAAAUACCACCCUUUAAUGUUUGAUGUUCUAACGUUGGCCCCUGACCGGGGUUGCGGACAGUGUCUGGUGGGUAGUUUGACUGGGGCGGUCUCCUCCCAAAGCGUAACGGAGGAGCACGAAGGUUAGCUAAUCCUGGUCGGACAUCAGGAGGUUAGUGCAAUGGCAUAAGCUAGCUUGACUGCGAGCGUGACGGCGCGAGCAGGUGCGAAAGCAGGUCAUAGUGAUCCGGUGGUUCUGAAUGGAAGGGCCAUCGCUCAACGGAUAAAAGGUACUCCGGGGAUAACAGGCUGAUACCGCCCAAGAGUUCAUAUCGACGGCGGUGUUUGGCACCUCGAUGUCGGCUCAUCACAUCCUGGGGCUGAAGUAGGUCCCAAGGGUAUGGCUGUUCGCCAUUUAAAGUGGUACGCGAGCUGGGUUUAGAACGUCGUGAGACAGUUCGGUCCCUAUCUGCCGUGGGCGCUGGAGAAUUGAGGGGGGCUGCUCCUAGUACGAGAGGACCGGAGUGGACGCAUCACUGGUGUUCGGGUUGUCAUGCCAAUGGCACUGCCCGGUAGCUAAAUGCGGAAGAGAUAAGUGCUGAAAGCAUCUAAGCACGAAACUUGCCCCGAGAUGAGUUCU
rnacentral:rRNA from 1 species